rnacentral:rRNA from 1 species
CCUACGGGAGGCAGCAGUGAGGAAUAUUGGUCAAUGGACGAGAGUCUGAACCAGCCAAGUAGCGUGAAGGAUGACUGCCCUAUGGGUUGUAAACUUCUUUUAUAUGGGAAUAAAAUGUUCCACGUGUGGGAUUUUGUAUGUACCAUAUGAAUAAGGAUCGGCUAACUCCGUGCCAGCAGCAGCGGUAAUACGGAGGAUCCGAGCGUUAUCCGGAUUUAUUGGGUUUAAAGGGAGCGUAGGUGGAUUGUUAAGUCAGUUGUGAAAGUUUGCGGCUCAACCGUAAAAUUGCAGUUGAAACUGGCAGUCUUGAGUACAGUAGAGGUGGGCGGAAGGCGUGGUGUAGCGGUGAAAUGCUUAGAUAUCACGAAGAACUCCGAUUGCGAAGGCAGUUCACUGGACUGCAACUGACACUGAGGCUCGAAAGUGUGGGUAUCAAACAGGAUUAGAUACCCCAGUAGUC